UACGUAGGGUGCGAGCGUUAAUCGGAAUUACUGGGCGUAAAGCGUGCGCAGGCGGUUUUGUAAGCCAGAUGUGAGAGCCCCGGGCUUAACCUGGGAAUGGCAUUUGGGACUGCAAGGCUUGAGUGCGGCAGAGGAGACUGGAAUUCCCGGUGUAGCAGUGAAAUGCGUAGAUAUCGGGAGGAAUACCGAUGGCGAAGGCGGCCAUCUGGACCGCAACUGACGCUGAGGCGCGAAAGGCGUGGGGAGCAAACAGG
rnacentral:rRNA from 1 species